CCUGCCCCUAGAGGAGUUGCAGGCAUGGCUGCUGUGUCACAUGUGCAUCUGUAGGUGGCAAAAAGCAGAGAAGGUGUGUCUAUGCUCAGUGUUCUGAUCUAUGAACAUCUGAAUGAUUAGUACCCUAACAUU